UUCCACUUACAUGAGGUAUCUAAAGUAGUCAAACUCAUAGUCAGAGAAAGUAGAACGGUAGUUGUAACGGGUUAAGGAGAGAGGGAAAUAGGAAGCCAUAGUUUAAUGGGUACAGAGUUUCAGAUGGAUAGUAGUAAUGAUUGUACUACAAUGUGAAUAAACUUAAUGCCACAGAACUGUAGGCUUAAAAAUGAUUAAAAUAGUAAAUUUAUGUUAUAUGUAUUUUACCACAAUAAGAAAAACCUUGGUAGGAAAUUUGCUCUACUGGAUUUCAAAAUUUACCAUAAACGUUAGUAAUUAAAAUAUUGACGUUGGUACAAAAAUAGACAAACCAGUAAAACAGAAUAAAGAGUCCAGAGACAGACCCUCACAUUUCCAGACACUUAAUUUAUGGCAAAAGCAUUUCUUCCAUUAGUAUCUACAUAUUUUUUCAGAUUUCUUUUUCAGGUAUGGCAGGUGAAAAUACCACAUUAUAAGUAAUACAAAUUAUUUUUACAGUGUUGCUUAUUUUAUCUUUACAUCAUUUUUAGCUUAUAUUUUAUGUAUGUUUUAUAAUCUAUAAAUAUAUUUUUACAAGUAAAAAUGCACGUAGCAGAGGUACACAAUAAAAUGAUUUGGGGUGUGCUAUAAUCUGAAUGUUUGUGGCCCCUCAAAAUUCCUAUUGGAAUCUAAUCCCCAACGUGUUGGUAUUAAGAGGUAGGGCCUUUGGAAGCUGACUAGGUCAUAAAACGGAGGCCUCAUAAAUAGGAUUAUUUAUGAGGUCUUAUAAAAGAGGCCUGAGGGAGCUUGUCUGCCCCUUUGCCCUUCUGCCAUAGAAGGACACACAGAAGGCACCAUCUAUGAGGACCAGGCCCUCACCAGACACAAUCUACCAGAGCCAUGAUCCUGGACUUUAUAGCCUCCAGAACUCAGGAAAUUUACUGGGAAACAAAGAGAAGAAUAUCAAGAUGGGACACGUAAAUUGGCUGCAGAGCAAGCAGAGACUAGAAGGAGCCAUCAGAGAAACAAGGACGGGAAGCAUCUAGUCUAGGUCAGAGGCUUUCAAACUUUUUUGACACAUAAUAAGAAACUUUUAUAUCACCAUUUUAUGUCACCAUCAGUAGAGAUAUCUGUACUGAGUUAUAUAUAUAUGUGUGUGUGUGUAUAUGUAUAUAUAUAUAUACGUGUGUAUGUGUUCAUAUAUAAAUUGAAAACAAAAUUGUUAAGCAAUGAUACUUAGCUUUAUUACAUGACGUGUACUUUUGUUCCAUUCUCUUCUGUUUUUUAUGUAAAUCAAGACCCUCUAAAAUGAUUUCAUAACACACCUAAGGGUCACAGCUAUCAAUGGUUUGAAACCCACAGCUCUGUCCAAUACAAUCUCACAGAACACAGCUUCCUGGAAAAUGAAGAUAACAAUACUCAACUCCACACUUGGUCAAAACUAUUCCUUGAACACUUCAUUCAGUUCUAGGCAUUACACUUUAAGAAGUAUAGAGACUAACUGGAUCACAUUCAGAAGAAGCCAAAAAAGACGAGGAAGGACACAAAUCGCAUGACAGAAGCAAAGGCUACAUGUUAGCCUACAGAAGAGAGAAAUAUCAAACAUGAUAGCCAUCUUCACUCACAUGCAGGAUCAAUUAAGCUUGUUCUAUAUUGUGACAAGGGAGAGAAGUGGCAAGGAAAAGGGUUUCAGGUCAAGGUAGAAAAGCACUAUGUAACAGUAUUAGCUGCCCAGGGGGCUGUGUUGGGACUCAUGGAGCUUCCACAUGACUGGAGAUCUUUACAGACAGCCUGAACAGUCACUUGGCAGAGAAGCAUUAGAAGGGGUUCAUAGAUCACAUGGUUAACAUUAGAGUGUAACACUUUCCAAUCCUGAAAUUCUAUAAUUCUGGUGUAGAUUAAAGCAAUAGUAUACUUUAACAUGACUACUAAAGCUAACACUAGUUCUUUAUUAAGUUUUUAAUAAGAAAUGAAUUCUACCGUGAACCACAUGAAACGAAGUUGAAAUGGCAAAUUAUAUUUUCUUGUAACAAGAGAAUGUAACAAAAAUUGGCAAUGUGCCUAUCAUAGUCAUUAAAAAUCUUCAUCAGUUACAAUUAGAGAAAAACUGAAAUGUUACCCAAAUCACUGGCAUAGUGUCUAAGAUGUUCAACUUAGAAUAUAUAACUAUAUUACAGCUUCAAUAAGCAAACAUCAAAAAAGGUGAUCUUUAAAAUGUACAGAAAUGAGAGUAUUUACAAAAGAAGAUUGUAUUAUAAACAUUCUCUCCUUGCCCAAAAGCCAUUCGUUGGUGUGUGUCGAUUUUAUGUGUAUUUUAUACCUACAAAAUACAUGUAUAAAUUCUCUCCUUACCCAAAAGCCAUUCUUUGGUGUGUGUAUAUAUAUGUAAAGCAUGCACAAAGUAACAAUGUCCUCUCUGAUUUUUUACUGAUCCAACUAACUGAAAAUGUGAGUAAUCUUCAGAAAAGUUUUUAUCCGUAUAACCAUCUACCAUAUUUAUUUUUAAAAAACCGUAUCUCCAAUUAUCUAAUAUAUAGUUAGGAAUUACUUAUCAAUAACAUACUACUGUCACCCCUCUGAGACAGAAUUCUUAAGAAGGCCAACUCCUGGACUGUUAGAAUACAGAAACCUUUCUAGAAUCAUACUAUUCAAAGACAGCAGGUCCAUGGACCAGUUCUGGUCUGUAAAUUAUUACUAAUCCAUAAUAAGAAAAGUACAGAAAAUGAGAUAAGAAUUUUAAAACAUUUACAGCAAUGUGUAAAAGUAAUUUUAAGUCUGAUGAAUCUACUAAUAAAAGAGUCAAGCCUUGUAUUUCAUGUCUUUUUCAUUUCAUUCUUCUAGCAAUUCAUUUUUAUAUUUUACAAAAGUAUCAGUUGGUGACUAGAUUUUUUUUUAAUCUGCUCUUCCAUCAAAGAGUUUGAAAAACACUUUUCUAAAGAAUCUUUAGAUGCUGAAGGUCCUUGGAUAUGAAGAUAAGCUGCUUUACUUUGAUGUCUUCUAAUCUCCCUAUUCAUCUUGGUUUUCCCACAACAGUAACAAACAUUAAUUUAUUUCUUUCCAAGUGUUCUUUUGAUAUCUCUACUAAGUUGACAGCAACAUCAAUAUAGUUCACUGCCUAAAAUUUAUCAUCAGGUUAUCUGCCUGACUGCUCAGAAUCUGUAACACUAUUUCAUUUCCAUCCAGAUGUAGCUCCAACAUAUUCUUGGGUUCAUUCCUUGUAAGAAGAUAUUAACAAAUCUGACAAGCCAGUUUGAAGGGGUCACCCAAUCUGGCAACAUGACUGCUCGCAUAAUCUGUGGUCAUCUAUCCUUUGGAAAUACUAAAGGGUAGUAUGGCUCAGUUUUAAACCCCAGACCUUCUAAAGAGACCAUCUAAAGUAAUGGUCUCUUGCAUCCUGAAUUCAUGCCAAUCUACCUAUACUUCCAAUCUUCCAUUUGAACUAUAUUGGUUCUCAGAAUCCUUUUCUGACUUACACACUCUUUUAAUUUCUUGAG